UGUUUGUAUAGUGUGUGUAUAUAAUGCAGUGUGUUUGUGUAGUGUGCAUUAUAUAAACACACUACACAAACACACUGCAUUAUAUACACACACUACACAAAC
rnacentral:miRNA from 1 species